rnacentral:rRNA from 1 species
CCUACGGGAGGCAGCAGUGGGGAAUAUUGCACAAUGGGGGAAACCCUGAUGCAGCGACGCCGCGUGAGUGAAGAAGUAAUUCGUUAUUUAAAGCUCUAUCAGCAUGGAAGAAAAUGACGGUACCUGAUUAAGAAUCCCCGGCUAACUACGUGCCAGCAGCCGCGGUAAUACGUAGGGGGCAAGCGUUAUCCGGAUUUACUGGGGGUAAACGGAGCGUAGACGGCAGUGCAAGUCUGGAGUGAAAGGCGGGGGCUCAACCCCAGGACUGCUCUGGAAACGGUAAGGCUGGAGUGCAGGAGAGGUAAGUGGAAUUCGUAGUGUAGCGGUGAAAUGCGUAGAUAUUAGGAGGAACACCAGUGGCGAAGGCGGCUUACUGGACUGUAACUGACGCUGAGGCUCGAAAGCGUGGGGAGCAAACAGGAUUAGAUACCCGGGUAGUC